rnacentral:rRNA from 1 species
GACGAACGCUGGCGGCGUGCCUAAUACAUGCCAGUUGAGCGAUGAAGCUUGGUGCUUGCCCCAAUUUGAAGAGCAGCGAACGGGUGAGUAACGCGUGGGGAAUCUGCCUUUGAGCGGGGGACAACAUUUGGAAACGAAUGCUAAUACCGCAUAACAACUUUAAACAUAAGUUUUAAGUUUGAAAGAUGCAAUUGCAUCACUCAAAGAUGAUCCCGCGUUGUAUUAGCUAGUUGGUGAGGUAAAGGCUCACCAAGGCGAUGAUACAUAGCCGACCUGAGAGGGUGAUCGGCCACAUUGGGACUGAGACACGGCCCAAACUCCUACGGGAGGCAGCAGUAGGGAAUCUUCGGCAAUGGACGAAAGUCUGACCGAGCAACGCCGCGUGAGUGAAGAAGGGUUUCGGAUCGUAAAACUCUGUUGGUAGAGAAGAACGUUGGUGAGAGUGGAAAGCUCAUCAAGUGACGGUAACUACACAGAAAGGGACGGCUAACUACGUG